rnacentral:rRNA from 1 species
CCUACGGGGGGCAGCAGUGGGGAAUAUUGCACAAUGGGGGAAACCCUGAUGCAGCGACGCCGCGUGAGUGAAGAAGUAAUUCGUUACGUAAAGCUCUAUCAGCAGGGAAGAAACACUGACCUUACGGUCAGCAGACGGUACCUGAAGAAACAGCAUCGGCUAACUCCGUGCCAGCAGCCGCGGUAAUACGGAGGAUGCGAGCGUUAUCCGGUUUUAUUGGGUUUAACGGGUGCGUAGGCGGAAUAUCAAGUCAGCGGUAAAAAUUCGGGGCUCAACCCCGUCGUGCCGUUGAAACUGAUGUUCUUGAGUGGGCGAGAAGUAUGCGGAAUGCGUGGUGUAGCGGUGAAAUGCAUAGAUAUCACGCAGAACUCCGAUUGCGAAGGCAGCAUACCGGCGCCCAACUGACGCUGAAGCACGAAAGCGUGGGUAUCGAACAGGAUUAGAUACCCUUGUAGUC